CUUGAACGACCCGAGCCAGAGGGGGGUGUCCCGCUCCUGGCCGUAGGUCGCGAGCAGGGCCUGCGCCUC
rnacentral:antisense_RNA from 1 species